GUCCAUUUCCUGGAAGCUCUAGGAUGGCAGGAUCCUCGUGACGUUCGGUAUACAAAUCCAGAAUGCUGGCAGAAUGAGCCCAGGCCUCCGUGACUCUCUCUGUUCCCUCAUCGUCUGCGUCUCUGCUGGACUCUGAGCUGCCGUGGGGCAGGGAAGGUGGCGACACUCCUAACACCUUCCAGAGCCCGGCACCGAGCAGGUGCUCAGGCAAUCAUGAAUGAAAAACAAAUCUGGGCCAGCACCUUCCCUGAUGGAGGGACAAAUGUCCCAGGUUCUCCACAAACCUUCCCACAGUCCCAGGUAGGUGGCUCCCGGAGAGGUGGGACGAGGGCUGCAGUCCUGCCGGUGAAGCGGAAUUCCACCUCUUAUCACAGCUGCGGCUCUGGGUGCCUCCCUCAUCCGAUCCGAAUCCUGGUGGAUGCCCGAUGCCAACAGUGAGGAGCAAACAAAAUCCUGCCCUUGAGCAGAGAGCCCCCGGUGCCUACGGAGCGCUCACUGUGAGUGUCACUAUAGGGCUCCUCUGGAGGUAGCACUAGGUCCCGCGGGACACACAGAGCACACUCGCUGAUUCACCAAGCCUGCUGUUGGCUGUGGGGCGUGGACCCCUCCCCCUCUCAGCGCAACAGAGCCUCACACCAGCCAGCACAGAAAACAUUGCUUUAUUAACUGCGUUUGCCAACACACGAGAGGUGCAAAGGGCUCCUUGAGACACUGGCCCUGGUGGCGGCCGGGGUCUGGAUACCCCCAUGAGUGAGCAGGACAGGAUGGGGGUGGGAGCUACGCAGCGGCAGUAACACAAAGUCAUGCAGGGCACGUGGGCACUGGCCACAGAAGGCGGCCGUACAUUCUAUUGC